rnacentral:rRNA from 1 species
GACGAACCGUGCGAACGUUAUUCGGAAUCACUGGGCUUAAAGCGCGUGUAGGCGGAUGGGGACGUCGGCCACUGAAAGCCCCCGGCUCAACCGGGGAAGGGGUGCCGAAACGGCCCGUCUGGAGGGGCGUAGGGGGACCUGGAACUUCCGGUGGAGCGGUGAAAUGCGUUGAGAUCGGAAGGAACGCCCGUGGCGAAAGCGAGGUCCUGGACGUCAUCUGACGCUGAGACGCGAAAAGCUAGGGGAGCGAAC